rnacentral:rRNA from 1 species
AGUGAACGCUGGCGGUAGGCCUAACACAUGCAAGUCGAACGGCAGCACAGUAAGAGCUUGCUCUUACGGGUGGCGAGUGGCGGACGGGUGAGGAAUACAUCGGAAUCUACUUUUUCGUGGGGGAUAACGUAGGGAAACUUACGCUAAUACCGCAUACGACCUACGAGUGAAAGCAGGGGAUCUUCGGACCUUGCGCGAUUGAAUGAGCCGAUGUCGGAUUAGCUAGUUGGCGGGGUAAAGGCCCACCAAGGCGACGAUCCGUAGCUGGUCUGAGAGGAUGAUCAGCCACACUGGAACUGAGACACGGUCCAGACUCCUACGGGAGGCAGCAGUAGGGAAUAUUGGACAAUGGGCGCAAGCCUGAUCCAGCCAUACCGCGUGGGUGAAGAAGGCCUUCGGGUUGUAAAGCCCUUUUGUUGGGAAAGAAAAGCAGCAGGUUAAUACCUCGCUGUUCUGACGGUACCUAAAGAAUAAGCACCGGCUAACUUCGUG